rnacentral:rRNA from 1 species
ACGGAGGAUCCAAGCGUUAUCCGGAUUUAUUGGGUUUAAAGGGUGCGUAGGCGGAUCAGUAAGUCAGGGGUGAAAAAUUUCAGCUUAACUGGAAUAGUGCCUUUGAUACUGUUGGACUAGAGUAUAAUUGACGUGACUGGAAUGUGAUGUGUAGCGGUGAAAUUCUUAGAUAUGUCGCAGAACGCCAAUCGUGAAGGCAGGUCACGGAAUUAUUACUGACGCUCAUGCACGAAAGCGUGGGUAUCAAACAG